UGCUACACCCUGCGCUCUCUCCGUCCUUCGCCUCCAUUGGAAAUAUAAUAUAAAAAGUUUUGAUUGGAAUCUCUGAGACAUGAAAUCCUUCAGACUGUGAGAACGACUUUUAUAUCCUGUGAAAGAACCUGAUCCACCAAGUCUCUCGAUACUUCUGGACAUUUAUUUAGUAUAACUUGUCCUCCAUGGAUCAUCCAUGUCCAUUUUAAAGGAUUCCCAGACCUUUCAGAAUUUUUAACUUGAGGUUUUCCUACAUGUUGUUUGAACAUUAAUAAAGAACUGAUGUUCUGCUUUAAA